rnacentral:lncRNA from 1 species
AAUUUGUAUUUUUUACAGGGCCAAAAUAGACAACUAAAAUAUUGAAUUUGUAUUUAUUUCAGAAUUGACCAAGAGAAUUGUCUUGUAAGUCAUACACUUGAAGAUUGGCUCCGUUGUUGGUGUCAUGGAUGGGGUAGUAUAACAGUUCCACUACGUAUCCUGCAGUAGUAUAAGCAAUCUACACAAGAGCUUAUGAAGGGCUUCUUUGCGGAUUUGAUGGAUAGACAGUCUUGCACAGAAAUCUAAUAAAUAUUAUUUAGAUUUUUUACAGGGCCGAGACCGAC